rnacentral:lncRNA from 1 species
UUCCUAUUUUAGUUCGCAGUCAGAAAGCUGUUGAAGACAUAUUUGACAGGUAAAUAUUUGAGGAGUAAAAUGGCUAACUCUUAUGAUAUUCGUCUUUAAUUAAAUUCAAGUUCAGUUAAGAAUGCAUCAUCGUUUUGUAAAGAUGAUAUUUCGACAAUUGAGCUAUUCAGAAUGAUUGGAAUGACAAUUUCGUCAUUUUAACUGUAACAUGUAAAUAACAUAAAAUAAUGGUUAUCCAUAUAAUUGUGUUGAUUAUAUAACAAAUUAUUUAGCUGAAAAACUUAAGAAAUUAUUUAAAGAAGAUGUGUCAAGUACUUAAAAUUGAGAAUCAAUCGAGAGAGAAAAUAAUAUUGUGCGCAGAAUAAAUAAUGAGUGAACAUAUUAUAUAAAAAAAGUCCAUGAUAAAUUCUAACUUGACGUUCUUUAAACGCUUUGAGCCAAAUCAAUAGUUAAAUAUGAAAGUUGUAUUUGGUGGGUUUAAAUCAUACUCUCACGUCAUAUGUUUAAAAAAAAUCAUAAAUGAGCUACCUGACGUCAUUGAACGAUGACAUAUGAAAAUAAACAUUUUACGGGAAAAUAUACGUUAGUGAAACCGAAAUUCGUCACAACAAGGAAACGUACAAACAAACGAAUAAAAUAUGUGUGGUAAGCCAUUUGAUUUUGCAUAUUAGUAAAAUUAUCAUUCAAAUUUAUUCAAAUCUAUCUUAUUAUGUUUACUAAAGAGUUUAAGUAUGUCACUGAUUCAGUUUGCUCCGUUUUCACGUCGAUGUAAUAGUUCCUUUUAUUCACGGGAUUGCAAAUAUUUGUUUUCACUUAGAGCGAUUCCAUUCAAAAGUGUGUGUCCUAUGAGAUAUAAGAAAAGAACAUAUUUAUCGGGGCUUUCGCUCUUGGUAACCCCGAGGUGAAAUCAGUAAAAGUACAAAUUCCAAUAAAUUAAUUUCAAGUAAACAAUUUUAUUUUUUCCCUUCUUUUAACCAAGAUGAUUGUUUUGAAUUUGUAAACACUAGAUGUGUAGGUUGUUCUUGUGCUGGUUUUGUUUCACCAUUGCUUUAUUGUUAGUAUGGGUAAAAUUAGGAUUAGUUUAUAUUUAUAUUUUCGAUACCAUUAAUCUUAUUUUAGGUUUUGUGUCCAAUAUCUCAGAUUACUUUUUAUAUUUCACAAGGUCAUGUCUUACUUCAGUUUAUAGCAUACGAAAAUGCGGAGCAGAUAUAAGAGAAGAGAAAAUAAUCCUAUUGAUUUUUAAGGCUGUGUCACGUUUUCCUCUACAUCAGUUGUAGAUGCGAUUUUGUCUUCUAUAUAAUUUGAUGAGGACGCAUACAAUUUAUCUAUUUAAUCAUUUGUAUAACUAUAUAAUUAAGCGUCCUGACUUCAGCUUCUUCAAAAUUAGAACCUACAACACCAUCUAAUGCAGACGAGUAUGAUUGCAGCAAUAGAUACAGAGGCUUAGCUAUAAUAAUUUGUAAUGAAAACUUCAAAACAGAAAGGCUCAGAAGAUAUUACUGUGACAAUGAAAUAAAACUGAUGAA